AAGAAUUUCAUUUUAUAUAGGGUAUACAUUCUAGGAGAAAGCUUAUUUCUUUGUUUUCCAGAUGGAAGAAACAUCACAUGGCACACAAAUUUUCCCAAGCAGAUGGCAUCUGUCUGCUUUCCAUCUGACCCUUACAUAAAAGUUAGCAGUAGUUGCUUGCAGCCAAAUGAUACAAUAAAGCAAAAGAUUUAAUACUGUACCAGUUCCUUUCCUAUCUGAGCUUACAUUGCUGCAAAUUCAGAUGUACCGUGGACUGUCCGCAGUGGCAAUUUGAAAAGAUGCUUGUUAGUCAUGGCUUAGAUCUAGAAAUAUGCUUGCAUCGGGGUCAGUUCACACACUCACCUGGCUGAGAAGGGCAAGGCAGCUGCCCCUACCACCAGAAUAUACAACGAAAGUGGAUAAGCCAUCUUCAUACCAAUGGACUGUGCAUGGGUAUCUGUGCCACUAAUUACACUUCCCUAUGCCAAACACUGCAGAAGGGAAAGCCCAUGUCUCAGUAGUAGAACAUCUGCUUUGCUUGCAGAAGGUCACAGGUCCAAUUCUUGGAGUCUCCGGGUAGACUUGGUGGAGACUCCUGUCUGAAUCCCUGGAGAACUGUUCCAGGCACGUCCAAAGUCCGUUUCGGGGGCCUAAUCCAGGCCUCCGGUCGGUUUAAUCUGGCCCCUGUGGCAGUUUAUUUCCUGAGGUAAAAUCCUUAAAAACCUCAAUAACUUCAAUCCGAAAAAAGGUCAACAACUUUGGUCGGCCCUCACGGCCCUUCACUUCAUCAAAUCUGGCCCUCUUUGGAAAAAGUUUGGACACCACUAACAGUCCUGAGUUAGAUGGACCAAUGGUCUGACUCAGGGUAAGGCAGUUUCCUAUCAUCCUAUUACAAUGUAUGUGCAGUGGGGUAACAUCCCUCCCCCACAUGGAAUGUAUCCUUCUUUGGAUGAGUGUGAAAAUCAGCCUUUAAGGACAGAGCCAGGUCGUAUCUGUGCUUUAGAAACAAAAUUCUGUCCAUUUUUAUAUGCAUAGUCUGAUCGGGUAUUGCAGUCCAAAGCUCUGCUUUCAGUCAAUGGUGCAUAAUCACCCCCUCCAGGCUUUUGAAUUAUCACUCUUUUACUUCAGAAUGCCCUUGCAGGGACUUUCCUCACCCAUCCUUCUCCCUUUCAGUCAUUAACUGAGUCUGAUCAAGAAUAGGAUUUUUAUUCCCAUGGGGCCUAAAAACAACAACACGAUGAGGGCUUUUUAGCUACAGCGCUCUUCAUGGAAUCCAUGUAACCUUUGUGAAAUUUGUAUGUGCGAAUUCCUGACAUUUCCUUUUCAGCUCUCCAUUACCUCAGCCACUUCAUCAUGUGGCACAAGUUAACCAGUCAUCCAUAAAGAGUUUCCAAAGAACUGCUAAAAAGAGAGAAUUUGCAUACACCCCCAAUACAGCAUUUUUUAAAAUGAAAAGGCAGCACUUUGUCAAAUAUUCACCCCCCAAAAAUAGAAACUUGGUUUGAAUAUGCCUCGGAUCAAAGUAUCUGGCUUUUGACAAAUCUGAGGUAAUCUGAGUCUUGAUUGUAAAAGAACCCAAAGCUUUAUUCCGAGCAAUACAAGAGGUGCCUUUGACUGACUGAUACUGAUAGCAAAUGGGAAAACUACUUUAAUAGAUUUACCUCAAGUGAAUGAAGAAAGGGUUUUGCCUUUUAUCAGUGUGGCAGAAGAGAAAUUACACUGAGCAGUUUUGAGAACAAACAGUGGUUGCUAUUUUUGGGCCUUCUAUCAUGGCACUGUCAGCUCACCUAUCAAGUAUAAAAAGAAAACACCUUGAUUUAUCCAACCGCCAUCUGUUUGUUCAACGUGCUCACUUGAUCUAUGCAGUAGAUAUAGCCCUAACAACCAUCCUGGGUGCACUAUAUCAGAGACACUUAGGACAUAAUGAGCUAAAGUGGAUAUAUGGCCAAGCCUGGAAGUAGAGUCAGGACAGGAGGGAAACUUCAUAGACUUUCCAGCUCAGCUUGGUGCUGCAGCUUCCGCAAUGGCAGCCACUGCACAUUUAGGCCACUAUAAAAUAGACACUGAUGAGCUAGGAAAUUUAUUCUGUCAUGUGUGUUCUUGUUACAGCCCUGUAAAACAACCAUCCCUUCCCCAGAGGGAAUACUUCUGGGAAUGGGAACCAGCAAAACAAGUAAGCACAGCAGGAUUCAAGUUUGGGUGAUAGAACGAAAAAACACAACAAAAUGUAUUAAUAACUUGCUAUUGGGUUCCACAAGUUAGGCUCCCUUCAAAGAAGGGUAGGUAGACUGUGAGCAACCUAAUCUCCAAAACAAUAGCAACUGAACUGUCCACAAAUUUCUGGGAAAAUGCAAUUUCCAAAAAUACAGCUUUGAGAGAAGAUUUGGGGCAUGUGUGAAAAGCAGGAUCAACCCCCUUCUGCACUGCUCACUGAUGAUCUGGCAAACCUAGGUUUGUACUGUGCAGAUGUAGGAACUGGUCAUGCUUGCUGGGGAUGAUGGGAGUCGUAGUUCAGCAACAUCUGGAGGGCCAAAGGUUCUCCACGAUUGAUUCUAACCAAAAGAAAGGGGAGGGAGAGAUGUUAAAUCAAAGAUGUGGGACAGGGGAGAAUCAGAGGUCCGCCAAGAAGACAAGGUUGAAGAAGUUGACCUGAAGAGGUUAAUUGUCCAUGUCUACUUCGCAAGACAGCCCUCUGACUAUGAAACUGUACGACCUUUACAGACAUUAUUUUUAAACAUGCCUCAAAUACUUGUUUUUUUUUAAAUUCGAAGAAGCUUAUCAUUUGCAUUGCCCAGGGGCUGUGAACUCACCACUCUGACAUGAGACUGAAAGAUCACACAAGACAACGUUCUUUGAUUCAAAUUAGGCCACAACUUUUUUGAUUACAGAUGUAAGGGACUUUGGCCUAGGCACUGGGUAUAUCCUGAAUCAACCAAUCUGCUUGCUGGAUGUUUUACCAUGGGGUCAAAUCUGAAGCGAGGGGGUCCUAUGACAUAUAUCAGAUAGGUGCAACCUUGCCAGGAUUGUCCAUGUCUAGUGCAUGUCAGCCUCUACAGAGAUGACUUUUAAACAUGCCUCAAAUACUUGUUUUUCUUCUGCUAGCUUUCUAUUGUCAUUUUUGCUGUCUGCGUCUACACUUUAGACUGCUGAUAUUGUUUUUAAUCUCCUACUGUAAUGCUAUUUUUAGGUGCUUUAUGUUUUAGAUUAUAUUUUUGCUGUUUUAUUGUUUGUAAUGUUGUUAUAGAUUGUGUUUCAACUUGUUAGAAGCUGAUUUGAGAGGGACAAACCUGAAAG